rnacentral:rRNA from 1 species
AUUGAACGCUGGCGGCAUGCCUUACACAUGCAAGUCGAACGGCAGCGGGGGAGAAGCUUGCUUUUCCUGCCGGCGAGUGGUGGACGGGUGAGUAAUACAUCGGAACGUGCCCUGUAGUGGGGGAUAACUAGUCGAAAGAUUAGCUAAUACCGCAUACGACCUGAGGGUGAAAGUGGGGGACCGCAAGGCCUCAUGCUAUAGGAGCGGCCGAUGUCUGAUUAGCUAGUUGGUGGGGUAAAGGCCUACCAAGGCGACGAUCAGUAGCUGGUCUGAGAGGACGAUCAGCCACACUGGGACUGAGACACGGCCCAGACUCCUACGGGAGGCAGCAGUGGGGAAUUUUGGACAAUGGGCGAAAGCCUGAUCCAGCAAUGCCGCGUGUGUGAAGAAGGCCUUCGGGUUGUAAAGCACUUUUGUCCGGAAAGAAAUGGCUCUGGUUAAUACCUGGGGUCGAUGACGGUACCGGAAGAAUAAGGACCGGCUAACUACGUGCCAGCCGCCGCAGUAA